rnacentral:lncRNA from 1 species
GCGAUAUUGUUAAAGGCUCGAGCUGUCAGACGCGGGCUCGAGCGUGCGUUUUUGUUUCCAAAUACACAGACACCCGCUGACUAAACAAGAAAAAUUAAUAAACUUCGAUUGCGAUUCCGGGAGUCAUUUAUACGAAUAUCGUACGAUUAUUGGUUUAUUGGUACCGUCCAGCCGUGUACUCCGCGGGGCUUUAAACUUUGUACUUUCGAUGACGAAAGUGCUCCUUGAAACUAGUGGCGACACGAUGGUUCCCGUUAAGGAAAUUAGACGUUCGCCGUUUAAUUAAAUCUUAACGAAGGCCCAACCGAGGCUUUCUUACCCGGAGCUGCGCCGAAGCAUACCGUAUGCGGUACGUUUCUAAAACGCCGGGCGAUAAAGCUGGUGAAAUAUUUGUUGCGGUCUGCUCGCCGCAGCAACCCGCGUUUCUUCCUCGGCAGCUACCACCGCCGUGAGUAACGUAGGAUCUUAUAAUACGCGCAUGUGCGCACAUGACGUUUUCCAUGUAAUAAGUAUACGUGUGUAUAUGACAUAAAGCGUGGCGGGAAUAUGAGGAUAUCUUGUAGGGUAGGUUUAAAAUAAGUGUAAGAGGAAUAUUAUCUCGGUAUAAUAAUGAAUGAAGGGGGAUUUUCGAGGUGUGGAUAUUUUCGGAUCGAUUACCUGAUUAGGGCAGAAGUAAUUGGACGAGUGAAAAUUUUUGAAGAUACGUCUAUUUCGGGGAGGAGAAAGGUAGGUGCGAGGGAUGGAAGAGAGUCCGCAGGAUUUGUAUAUUGUAAGGAAAUUUGCGAAACGCGAAAUUAUCAAGCUGGGAGGAUCCUUGCAGCAGUCUUUCCGUAAAAGUUAGUAAACGCCCAGAGUCGAGGGGAGUUUUUGUCGGGCUUACUCUCGCUCGGCGCCGAGGGGGCGCUUUUUAGUACCCCCAUGCCUGCAGCAGUAGCAGCAACUAGCGAGAGAGAAAAUUCAAAGACUCGCUCUCUGCUUUGUUGAAUACAAGGUUGUGGUACAUAUUCAACCGUUAUACUACCGAUAAACAAUAUGGAAUUAUGAAUAUCGAUUAUUUAUUACGGUAUUCAACGAAUGUAAUUUUAUACGUCAUCGAUGCAACUAUGGCUGCUCAAAUACUGGAACAAUUCGCGGACUAUGCGGGUAAAUAAUCUUGAAAUUUUCAAAUUGGUCAGAGCCAGUGUACCUGACAUGAAAUUAGAGUGUGACGAUGAGGACCUCGGAGGAGUUUCAAAAUCGAAUGUGUGGCGUUGUAUCUGUUAUUGCAACGUAAUCAGAGGGCUCGUAAUUACCUCGUUAUCUUGACUUCAAUUGAUUACAUAUUGAAGGAUGGUGAAAAUAUUUGUUGCCACGUAACAGUUUUGUUUUCCAGUUAUCAACUCAUCCGCCAAGAAAUUCGACCCCUCAUUGUAACAGUCGUCUAUCCAACUUAUAUAAAACAACAGAUGUAUUCUUUUUCCAAAAAUAAUUCUGGUUACAUAAACUACUCGUAUAUAUCUAUAAUAAAUGUACGGGCUUCGAAGUUUCUCACGAGAUUAUUUUAUAGUUUUCAUUAAGGUAUUUAUUUUAUUCACUUUUUUUCUUCUCCAGCAUUCAUCACUCGGAUGAAAACUGUAAUAACUAUGAGUGCCCAGGGUGUAGAGCUUUAAUUUUUAUUUUGCUUCUAUUUCUGUUGCAAUUUUACUAUUUUCUCUACUCGUUCAUCUUCGCUAUUACAGCCUUUCGUUCCAUAUCAAAUAAUGACUUCCCCAAUUUAUAAACUCAUCUAUUGCAGCGCACAUUUUUUAUAAUCAAGAUACUCGGUGGAGUCUUGCGUCACUCCUACGAGUGCAUGUGAGGUCAAUCUGAGCCAGCGUUUCUGUUGAUUGACCGAAUCUUUUCAUCAGACCACGUCACUUUGAAUGAGUUUUUCAACACCCGAAAGAAGGGCUUGGCUGCUUUCAGUGGAGAGCGUCGAUUUUUCUUUUGACUUUUUGAUUUUUUUCCAAUAUGUUAUUGUUGUAAUCUGAAAGUUGUAUUUUUUAUCCCAUCUGUCUUAUCGUUACUCGUUCAAUUUGUUGUUGUUGUUUUUUUCGCCACACUAGUCCAGUGGAGUCUCCCUUGGACGCUCGUCAUUCCAUUCUGUUUUUUUCGUUGUUUUUAUUUCGCUAAGUAAAACUAUUAGACCGUUAAUAGGUAAUCUUUAAACCGCAACGUUAAGAUCUAAAGCAGAGUUGGUCGUUGGGCAGUAGUAUCUUUGAUACUGGCGGGGUUCAUCAACAUUUCGGGGAAUGUUGACCCAUAUUCAUUACACAAAUUCCAGACGAGCUUCCAUUCAGACUUAAUUUCUAUAAAAUCGGAGACCGAAGAGCUCAGAUAUGAUGAAUGCUAAUAACGAAUGGAUCGUUUGACGAUCAUAUUUUCAGCACCGUCAUUUCCUGUGAUAUACUACAACGCUUUAGCGGGAUUCAAACAUAUGCCUACUGUACAUGGAUAUAAUGGGUAGAAGGAAACGGCUUGGUAUAUUCUUAUCGAACAGGAUCGGAAGGUGAGUUGAAUCCCCUCAAAGCCACUGGGGCGUGAAGUGUUCGUCAAGUACAUCAACACUGCGACCGAAAAAUCAUUCUCUGUCCAAAAACCAGAAACAAUAUACUACUUCGAUAUUGUUAUCGAACAUAUCAAUGUUCAAAAGAAACAAUGACGGAAAAAAGUGUACUUUGACGCCAGAGGGUGGAGCGGAUGAAAUACAGUAAAAAGGGUAAAAAUUCGGUAAUAACGGUACUUGGUGAACUUUUUAGAGAGAUUACCGAAAAGUAUAUUAACAAAUGUGCGAUACAUCAUUGGACUUCUUUCAAGAGCACCGAUGAUUAUGAACUUUUAUUUUUACCGUUUUUCUCACAUUAUUUUCAGACAAAUACUUUUUGUUCGAGGAACUUUUUUUUCAGUUGAAUCAAAUUUACAUUUUAAAUGAGCGUAAUGGGGGUACAAGCGUAUGUAGGGUAUAAAACGAGGUAUACAAGUUGCAGCAGCAAUGGUUGAUUCAAAUACUCGAGUGUUCAAAAGGAUGAUGUCAGCUCAGAUUUGUUUUCAAAUGGUACAGUUGGAUCGAUUGUUUUGGAUUUUGAAAUUCAACGGUGCACGAUUAUGUGACAGUUUUUUUUUUUUCUGUGCAAUGCACCCAUGUUGCCUCCAAGGAAUAUUUUCUAAAAAAUUUUAUUUGAAAAUUUUUUUCGUUCCUCACCAAUUGAAGAUAGUCGAGAGGCGUCUUUCUUAUCAUUUAAUCAGUUUUCCUUGUUUUUUUUACAAAAUUGUGUUUGCGUUCAAGAGGAGAGUGAUAUAUGACGAAUCCAGGAACAUAUAAUGGCUGUGCGAGCAGCUCGCUAACUCACCGGCAAGAAGUAAAGAAAGACGAUUGGUGCUGGCGUCACGGACCAGCUACCUACAGCCGGAAGCUAUCAUGCCCAAGAGCGCAUCGUCCCAGGGAGAAGGAACUUCGAGGCGUGUGUAAGGAAUGGUACUCGUAACGGAGGAUCGCUCCGUUGGGGCGUCGAGUGAAUCGUGGGGCAGAAAUGUCAGAACCAAAAUUGCGAAAAAGCAAAUUGGAAAACGAUCAUAGUCCGAAUCUUCACGCCCCGCUCCUCCAACGGUAUACGUGUAACAUCUGAAAUAGUGACUGUGAUUAUGAUUUGUUUCAAAGUUGAAUACAAAAUUAACGAAUAUGGUAUAUCUCUGCGACGUUUUUGACCGUCCCGGAUUCGUAUCCGCGAACGGAGGAAACGGAACAUGAGACUGGAAAGGGCAAAGAAUGAGGGAUGGGGGUGAGGAGGUGGGCUAAAAUUUCCCUGGAGUCAGUGGGAUCCGGCAAAUGACAUUAACAUCGGGCAACGUCGGACUAAUGAGAGUACGGCUCCAGGGGAAGAAGGUCGGCGGUGGUACCUUCGACGGCGUUGCUCUACGCGCUCUGCCGUGUUCCCUACGACCAACGUAGCUUCGCUCAGAACGCGGAACGGGGAAUCGAUUCCCGCGCAAAAACUACCGCGCAACAAACCUGAAUAACCAAUCACAUGGGGGUAAAUUCCGCACGAAACUCAGGACUAACAACUCAGGCUAUUUUUGGACACUUCACAUUUUACUUCUAUACAAUAUUUAGGCGAAACACAUCCUACCGGCUUUUCCGCUGCAGAUGCAACUUGAGUCCGUCACAGAUGCAUCUGUGCCCAUCGUGUAAUUCGUCCCUGAAACUGACGUACGCUACGUUGAAACGGACGAGAAGAGACGAGACUAAACGAGAUGUUCGCCGUCGAACACCGCGUCCAAUGAAUAUAUAAUGUCCUAAUACACUAUGCACACUGGGCCGUGGGGAUUUUGAGCGGCGAUUCUAGAGAAUCGCAUGAUAACCAAAAAAUAAUAAUUGUUACGCAUUUUUACAAGACUACGAAUAGAAUCGUUAACGGGGAUUCUGUAAUCAUGACAGUGAGGCAGGAUUUCACCAUGCAGCCAAAUUAAAUGGAAAUUCAAUCUAAAUUAGUGGUUAGAAUAAUAAUUUCUGUGGCAGUCCAAUAUUGUGACAACGCUGCAAUUUUGUUGACGUGUAUUGGCGCGUAUCUAUGUGGGGCAAUCUAUGUGAAAUCGACCACUUUUGAACCCAACCCGUUUUGAUUUUUCUGAAACUUUUUUGUUCUUACUUUCUACCCCACUGAAUACGUUUUUUCGAAUUUUUUCAAAUUUGUUUACCGAACCCAAAAAAAGUUUGGAAAAAUUAACUCUUCUCAAAUAGUCAUAACUUCUUCGAAAAUUGACUAAUCGGGACGUUUUUUUUUUCUAGAUUCUUGUUUUCCAACGUACUGGUCAACUGAACAUAGAAAAAAACUUCAGAUGUGGAAAUCUAUGAAAUUUUUCACUUUUUUUGAAAAACACUCAUCAAUUUUUUGUAAUUUUACUUUGAUUUAUUCUGUGAAUUUUCCCACGUCCCCCGUAUAGUGGGCUGCAUUUUUCUUCUAUUUGAUUUCGACCAAAAAAAGGUUUUUGAGUUUUCCUCAAUCUUUAACUUUUUCUACGAUGAAACCUUUGUUCUUGUCACGUGAAUAAUUUACUUAGAUUGUUUUUAUAGCAAAAUCAAAGUUUUACCCAUAAUACAUCAUCCGAACAUUUGACGAGCGCCCGAACCACCGGCGCAACCGUGCUGGCCACACCGUUAUCGGUUUGUCAGAAUUUAGUUCGCACGACGUAGAUCGAUAUUGGUAUUUUGCAAAUUCGUAGAAACCUGGAAAACUGGCCGGUCAGGCAAAUCCGGAUAUCAAUUUGCACAGCCCUGCACGGGACGACGCCGCUCCGCGCGUAUUGAUCCCGACCAAGUCUCAUCGAUCGAGUGGCCAGGGCGCCCUAGCCCGAGUUGCUCGGGCUUAACCGGUCGUCAUUCGAUUUUCCUUCAUUUAUAAUUUUGCGACUCUCUCUCUAUCUUAUAUGUGACCCUUGGCCCUCGGUUUCAAUCUUAUUUUUGAGUUCGAUGUCUUAGGAAACGUCGCCUCGUUUCGAAACUCUCGCAGAUUAUUUUCGAAAAAUGGCAAAUUAUCACGCGUUUCUCCAAACGUUCGAAUAUGCAGGUGCGCUAUUCGUAUCCACGUUAUUUCUCGGAGAAUCGUCUACAGGCUUAUGCGAUUUGCCUUAUUAUAUAUACGUAUUUCAGUCGAGCCUAUGUCACACUCGAUUUCACGAUCGUGAACGAUUAAACUUUCGGAGAACUCACAACACCUGCAUUUCAUAUAAAAAUUUAGCAACAUGCGAAACCGAACUCAUCGAUAUGACAAUACAAAUAGAAUUGCGUUUUUUCAUGAAAAAUUACUGAUCGUCUCAAGUUCGAAAACCACAAGAUCUUUAUGUACGUUAUGUAGAUUGUAACGAUAUAAGAUUUAAAAUUACCGCUAUAGGUAGAGUGACACCUGUGUCAGAUAAUUACUGGUCAAAAUAAUGACUCACCUUCCGAGUAGUCGGAAGGAAUAAAAGGAUGGGACUCUGGGGAAGACAAUUGAUGAGUGAGGACGUAAGUGCGUUCGCUCGCUAGUUUUAUUGAAAUAUCAUACAACACGAGGCAGUAAAAUCCAGUGCAAUCGAUUGAACCGCAGCUGAAAUA